rnacentral:lncRNA from 1 species
AAGACUUUUUUUCUUUCUUUUUUACUCCUUAAGUACUCUUAAUGGGAAUAAAUGGUUUAUCUUUUCAGAUCUGUGUAUUACUGCAGAAGCAUCCCACUGGGAAAAGGCUGCAUAAGUUCUGGCCACCGUGUAAAUCCCACGCUGACGACUCACUUGGAAAGAAGAAAAGACACAAAAUGUUGUGCUGGCUCUCUAAGUGAAGGAAAGUUGAUGCUUGGAAGAACCUCAGCUAAAACUCCCAAAGAGGAGACCUUCCCAAUUUUAACAGGAAAGUGCAUAGGAAUGGAGAUCAAUUUAAGCUGUGCUGUGCAAAGAGGGGAGAAAUCUGGUGAUGGUCCUACAAAUGUCACUGACAAGGAAAAGAGAAGGCUAAAGGCUCUGCUGGAGUGA